rnacentral:misc_RNA from 1 species
UUUCCGUAGGUGAACCUGCGGAAGGAUCAUUAAAGAGUUUGCCCCGUCCUCUCGAGGAUGGGUCCUCUUCUAAACCGUGUAUACAUACCUUUGUUGCUUUGGCGGGCCGCCGUCCCGGCGUUGGCUUCGGCUGACUGUGCCCGCCAGAGAACUCCAACUCUUCUGUUUAGUAUUGUCUGAGUACUAUAUAAUAGUUAAAACUUUCAACAACGGAUCUCUUGGUUCUG